GGAAUAAACUGCCAUCCUUAUGGAACAUGUAUGAAGUUCGCUAACAUGUAUGAAGUCCGCUGCGUUGACGGCUGAAACGUCUCAACUAGAGAUCAGAAAAAUAUUAAAGAAUAAUGUGCAUCUCCGCACGAACACAUGUGAAGUCGGCAGAAAAUUUCUAAACUGUCCGAUAGACUGCAAACCGGGGUUUUGGCCUGGACCAGGAUUUUGGAGGGUAGGUAAUCUCAAAUUCAAAAGGAGAGCGAAAAACGCUUUCCUUUUUCUCUUCUCCGGCUAGAGAGAAACCCUCUCCCAAAAAGCGGCGGAGCGAUGCAAAGGAGGGCGGAGGAGCUGAUACACGGCUGAAUGGAGAAGCUGCGGCUGGCCUGCGAACAUUAUAUCCGGAUCCAUUGGGGGAGAGCUAGCCUCUCGGCACGCUCGUUCCGCCAGCCCCUGCUCUCGAUGCGAUCCAUGACCCACGAAACCCUAGCAAAUCGAGAAAAACUUGGCAAGCUCACAGAUAAUGUCCAAGAAUUGGAGGCUGAUCUGGGAGAAUCACUAACAGGCGUGCUGUACCAUAUCGGUGAGAUACUGUUACAAUAUUGGGGACCUAUAUGACACUGUACUGACACACAAUAUCUCACCUUCAGCAGCAUACCAUGUGUCGAUGUGAGGGCAUACCAUACAAAUCCAUAUUGUAUGGGUAAGCUACCGAGGUAAUGCUCAUAAUUGUGCAACAAACCUUAGCUUUAAGAUUCCUAAUUGAAGACAAGUGAGUGCAUAACAUUUAGAUAUAGUUUCUUUUCGCUAUACAAGUAUAGCAAAGCUUAGUUUCAACAUUUGCAAAAUUGGUUUCAGGAACUGAAUUGAUAUGUUACCAAUUCUGUGUGGUAUGGUCAAUAUGAUAUGGUACAAUUGGUAUGGUGUGCACCAUUGUGCUGACAUAGACACAAUAUUUUUCUGGCUUCCAGCCAUGGUAGCACUUGAAACCUGGUGGUACAAGUUGGUAGUCGUCAGUUGGCUCGUCCUUUUUCCCAGUCGGUUAUUAAAGUUGUUAUGGAGCAUCAUUAGUGGUUCUCUUGAACUUUUAAGAAAGAUGAGAUAUAAUCUUAUCAUCUUCCAAAAUGAUCCUUAAUUUUUGAGUUAAAGUGUGAACUAUCUGGGAUCUCAAACUGAGUUGGAGGUUUGGUAGGUAACUCUUCCAUGUUUUUAGAUAUCAAGCAAACACGUCCUUGCUGCAGUUUCCAGAUGGAUUUGCAUGUUUUUAAGUAAUAAAACUUGCUAUAUUAAUUCUCAUAUGUGGUCUCUUAAAGCCAAUUUAAGCCCUUGUGAUGCAAU